ensembl:lncRNA
UUUCAAGUCCAUUUAUGUAUUUAUUUGGCAAUAGCAAGGUAAUAUGCAGGACAUUUUAGAGUCAGUCGGUCAGUAACAAAAUAAACCCCUUCAGGGGCUGAACCUGAUCAUCCUGUCAGGGUUUAUUUAAUGAUAAUGACCAACUGACUAUACAUUACCUCUUACAUAUUUCAUUAAAACAAAGUAAUAGUCUUGACAUUCAUGGUUACAUUUGUAAUUUUACAUUUCAUGUCUCUGUAAAGGCGCCAACACUCCCCCAGCAAUAACAAUAGACCGUAAUUCAUCAUAUGAGGGUCUCCAGGAAUAAGAGGAAGAGCGUAAACAUGAAAACUGAGACGACAGGCAGACGAGAACAUACAGAGGUCAGGCCUGUAAUCAUCUGACCCAAUCAAUAAUUAACCAAGGUCACCUUUAAUGACGGCGAAGCAACGUGGCAUAUAUUAUUCAUACAAACCGCUACAUGAAAAGACAGUGGUGGAGAGACUGUGAAAGUGAGACUAAGGUGAUGGAUGGACAGAAAGACAAAGUAAUUGAGAACCAGUAAACCGAUCUUUCUGAAGAGACAUCAUUCAUAUACACUUGCUGGUCAUGUCAAAGAAAUGUUUCUGAGGAAUCUUAACAGAUUUGCUCUGUGAUGCAGCAAACUCCUCUGUAGUACCCAUUCGAUGAAUCACCACAGAGCUGGAACCUGUAAUAUAAAUGCAGUUCACUCAAAUGCCACAAGAGUUUCAAAGAGACAUUCAUCUUAGAGGAAACAAAGUGAGCCAAUCUCCACGGGGAGGUUUGCGGUGAGAGAGGACUGAGGAGUGUAAAUGCCGGCAGUCGAGCGUGGCGGGACCUCUCCUGCUGCAAGGCAAAAGAGAGAAAGUUUGAGGCAAACUGGAGUCUUUGUUCAUAUCCCACGUGGCAGAAGGGGAUUUCCUUGCUUUCCCUCACUCUGACGCACUUUCACUACACUAAACACACAGGAACAGAUACAGAUAAAUGAUGCAAUGUCAAGCAAUCCAGAGGGAUCAAGGCUGCCAGAAAAAAAGGACAAAGUCCUGACUCUGCCGGACACCUUGCUAACCCUGUGAUGAACCCUCAUCAGCAAAAACUUGACUAUGGAUUGCAAAUAUUUUGCAAUAGGUUGUUUGCACAUGAUGUCACUGAUGAUGCACGAAAUGCAGAUGGAGGGCAGGAAGUGAUUUUUCUCCAUGGGAAUCACUAGCAGAAACUCAAAAUGCAUGUGUUUUGCAUUGUUUAUGGAUGCUUAAAUUGGCCAAACCGAGAGACCACAAGGAGCUUUUAUCAUGUACGAAAAUGCGUUGUUCAUAAGUGGGGAAAAGUCAAGAAAUUGAUUGAAAAACACAGGAAAAAGUGACUUGUAAACCUUUAUCUGUGGUCGGGAGGAACGGGACUGAUGUUCUGACGAUUUGUGCUACCCUGCCAGAUUUUGCUACCUCCCAUUAAAACAGAGGGUAGCAUAAUUCGAUAGCGAAAAGUGCUACCUAUCAGAUUUUGCUUCCAGCAUGAUAUUAAUAAGAUGUGAGGCUUUAUUAAAGGGGUCAUAUGAUGCGAUUUCAAGUUUUCCUUUCUCUUUGGAGUGUUACAAGCUGAUUGUGCAUAGAUAAGAUCCCUGAAAUUGCAAAGACUAAAGUCUCAAAACCAGGGAGGUCAGUGUGUUGCUGUGCAUCAUGGAGAUGCUGUGUGUUUCUAGGCGAAAGUAAAUCACUUUAUUUGGCCUUCUGAAAGUAGAUGCAUUUAGGAAUCUUUAAGAUUACUUACAACAGAACAGAAAUGCAGUUUAUGGACGACCGUUUUGUGAACCUAGGAGAGGAGGUCACCAUAGCCACCAGAUCCAGUCUGUAUCCAAGUCAGAGGGUCACUGCAGUCACCCGGAUCCAGUACGUAUCCAGCCCAGAUGGUGGAUCAGCACCUAGAAAGGACCUCUACAGCCCUGAAAGACAGCGGAGACCAGGACAACUAGAGCCCCAGAGACAGAUCCCCUGUAAAGACCUUGUCUCCGAUGACCACUUGGACAAGACCACAGGAAACAGAUGAUUCUUCUGCACAAUCUGACUUUGCUGCAGCCUGGAAUUGAACUGCUGGUUUCGUCUGGUCAGAGGAGAACUGGCCCCCCGACUGAGCCUGGUUUCUCCCAAGGUUUUUUCUCUAUUCUGUCACCGAUGGAGUUUUGGUUCCUUGCCGCUGUCGCCUCUGGCUUGCUUAGUUGGGGACACUUCAUUUACAGCGAUAUCGUUGACUUGAUUGCAAAUUAUUGCACAGAUACGAUUUAAACUGAACUGAGCUGUGUGAUGACAUCACUGAAUUCAAUGAUGAACUGCCUUUAACUGUCAUUU